rnacentral:lncRNA from 1 species
CCUUUCAUAUAUUAGGAGGGUAUUGGAACAGAGCAGAAAGCUUUCACCCUUCUUCUUCCCAACUAGUCAUUCAUAUUUUUUCACUGUCUCAGCUCAGAGAAAACACAAUCUCAUAUAGCCACAGUCUACAGUUACAUUUUAGCUAGCAAGCUAACAAAGGGACAAUGAGGCAUCUCUCAAAUGACUGUUUAACCUCAUCCUUGUGAUGCAGACAAAGUACAUUGGGAAAUCUAACAGUAGAUGAGCAGAAGAAACUCUCAUCUCCCUUGCUAACAUAAUGGAGAUGAAGAUGAGGUGAUAAAAUUGUUACAUAAAUAGCAGAAGACAAACCCCACUCCACAUGAACCCCAUUCUAACCAGGAGAUGUCCAACUGAUGCCAUGGUCACACAGAAUACACAUUUGAAAGAUACUUGAGAACAUUCACUCACAAAGGCCUCCAUGUUCUUGAGGGCUUUCUUUGAAAGCCUAGCCAUGCAGGUAAAAUCAUCAGAAACCCGAUAAGGAUUAUAAUGUAUGCAUGAAUGGAUAAGUACAAUGGACAGAGAUCAAUGUCUAUUCACAUGGGUGAACAGAUGAGGACAGAAUUCUGCUGUGCAUGGAACACAAGUUGAGCAAUGAGACAAAAUGUGCAGAGGCUCAUCUAACAACACUCGAGGGACCAUGUGUUCACAAAUGUAUGUACAUGUAACCCGACUCACCCUGUUUCUGCUAGUACUUCAUUAUUUCACAGAGCUACUAACAUAGGACAAAGUCAGCAUGCUCCUUUGUCUAAUUAUAUAGAUGCAAUUCAUAUUACAGAUGUCUACUAUACAUAGUACCCCUUCUCAUGUUCUAUUCAUUAAUGCAGUGGGUCAUGUUAAUUAAUUGUACACUAGAUAGUCAGAAAGUUGCAUUUACGAGUAAUUUCUUUGUCUUACAACUAUCACAUCAUAUGAAGAGUGAUAAGUGAUAAUGUUAUUCCUAAGAUAAAGUGGCAUGUCUGAUUUAUCGAGAAACAGUUAAAUGUUCUGUAAUUAUUUGCAUAAUAACUAAAAAAGUAAGCACAUAGAUCAAAUGUAAUAUUAGGUGGAUGGAAAGUAAACAGAAGCCGCAUUCAGUUAUAAAAAGAGUAGAGUGCUAGGAAAAUUUCAAGAUGAACUGAACAUGUAUAAAAAAAUGUCUGCAAAUGUAUCCAUGAAGUCAGUGUGAACAAAUACAGAAUAUGAAUGGGCCAUAUUUCAUCAGUAGAGCUAAAUGGCUGAAAAAUAUUUCAUGUAUACAACCCCAAAAAUUUGCAAACAGCAACUUGCCUUGAUAUAUACUUGUACUGAGACAUAUGCUCAUAUAUGCAUGCACCUGGCUCCUCAGAGGUUUGACAAACUUAUCUAUUUUAAAUAGUAAAAAUCUGCAUAUGUUCUUUCUAUAGCCAUGUGAUAUUAGGUACCAACAACCAUUUUGCUAAUGGAAUCAUUUAGGUAUCAUCCAGAAGAGUUCAAGGAAUUAGCAUGUGUAUUUGAAGGGGCAUAUGGAAAGGAUUAUCAAAUAUAAUUCCCCUUUCCCAUGUGACCCAACUAGGCAAGUGGUGGUACAUGGGACUGUGCGCAAGUUAAACAAAUCUAUUUUUUGUGAACUUAUGGCAGGAGCUCAGUGACAUCACUGCAAGAGAAAUCAGAUCAUCAUGAUAUGUCAUAUCUAAGUAUACCUGCACCCUACCUUGUACUUGUAGCCUAAUUCAUUAAUUUUGUGUAUCUAUCCAGACACAGAGUAGGACCAGCAAUUUGGUCAUGUUUUUGCAUAACCUGAAUUAAAAAAAAACUAUUCUAAAACAUAAUAUAAAUAAAAUUAUCUGACUUGCACCUUAUUCUGUUGUAGCCAUGAAAUUUGCACCUGCUGCUUAUUUUGGUAAUGACCUUGUCAGAUCAAAUCUGACAAAACUUGAUCUAGCCUGCCAAACAUCAAAAAGUUGAUUCUUCCUUGCCCCCUUUUUCUUUUUUCCUUGGGCAGGCAGGAUGAAACCCUGAGUAUGGCUAUAGAGAGACCAAGACAGAUUUCUAACUGUUGAAUAAGUCAUAUAUAUGCAGCAUGGUUGUCAUGGCCCAGAAUCCAUAUGAUAAGAGGUACCCUCAUUUAUUUGUUCAGUUACCCUAUAAAGAGGGUAGGUUCAUCGGCAUGGGUCAUUUGUUUGUCUCAUGAUAAUGGAUAAUAUAAAUAUUUAGAAAGUGGUAAGCAGAUAGCUUUCUCUUUUUCAUUUCUUUUUUGCCACCACUUGGGGCAACUGAGCCAGAGAGUAUCUAACAGAAGACAAUCCAGAAAGAGGAGGGUCUAUCUGUGAACUCCUGAGUGGAGAUGUUACCUAUUCUUUUCUGAGAGACAAAGAGAAGUGAGCCAACACCCACCAAAGCUCUGAUUAAGAUAUUGAAAAUACAUUAAGAUAAAGAGAAUAUAUAAAAAUAGUAGAGAGAAAGUUGAAAUAAAAGAUUAAGAAAAAGGGGAAGAAACUGAGGGAAGCAUUAUGACAAAGUGUGGUUGAAUGCUCUAUGGUUAGCAUCAAUUUACCAUGAUCAGAAGGCAGAAACAUAAGGGGGAAAAAACACAAAAAAUGCCACAUUAUGAAACAUACAGAGUGAUGAGCUAAAGAUGAUUCCGACAUUUCCUGUUAGGAAGGGCAUAGCACAAAUAGAGAAGUUGAUGAAACACAGACAUGAUUGGGUUUCUCAAAAUAGACUCCAUAUUCCGUUAGACAUAAGUUCCACUUUUCCACAAUAUAAACAUUUAAAAGCCAAUAGUUUUCAAUUUGAAGACACUGCCAGAAUAUCAACAAGGAGAAAGUCAGUGAUAUUAUUAAGGAACAAGUGUCGUAUGACCUGAGGAAAGAGCCAAAAUUGGAAAGGACUUUUUACCUCUAAAUACUGAUCAAGAUAUUUGAAAGGUUUUCUUGAUUUUGUAUUGUCGUUACUAUGAAAUUCUUUUUUGGAGAAGGGUCACCCACAAAAUCCUUCAGAUUAAGGUGAAAUAGAAUUUUCAUGUUCUGUAUGCAAGGUCAGAGCUCAAAAGAUAGUAAAUUUAAAGAGAAGCAAAUAGGAAAAAGAUACUGCUUACUUAGAAUGGUGAUGAGCUGGUUUUAAUUAAUCAAAAAGUAAACAAGCCAAAGAGAAAAGGAAAUUCAUAAAGUUUUUAAAGAAGAUCAUUGGCUUUUAUCCUUCAGCUAUUCUUCUUGAUUCUUGAGAUUCUGUAGGAGUUGCACAAGAGAGUUGAAGAGAGCUGAUUUUACUCUUAGGUGUGUACUAAACCUCCAAGAUGAAUUUGGUCGUGCUGAAAUGACUUCAAUAAAUAUGGUCAAUGAUGAAUAAUUAACAUAAGGAUUACCACCGAUUCCAAGCACCUACCUAUAUUAAAUAUAUCACAAUAAUCUCACUUCAAAUUUCAAAAGCUAUAUGAAUAAGAACAGUGGUAAUAUGUUAAGUAGCAAACCAUUUCUAAAAUGAUGGAGAUGGUUAGGAAUAAUGCUUCUAUAAUUGUUGAAUUUACAUGACAAAUAGUAGUUUUAGACUUACAUGGGAUCAUAAACUAAAAUGAGAGCAAACUAAUUAACAUAAAAAGAUAAUAACAGAUUCAAAUAUUAAAGUGAUCUAACAUAUACAACAUAAAAAGAUCAGCAAUCAAGUUCAGAAAUUACUUAUGGGAGGAGCUAGGUCCACUGUUGAAGAUUUGUUUCCCCACCCAUCUAGGAUAAGGCUUUCAUCAGUUAGCACAUAUUAACUAGAGCUUUCAUCCUACUUGUUACUUGUGAUAAUGCUGUUUCAUUUUUGUCAUGCAUAAACAACACUGAUCAUGAAAAGAAGAUUGAGACUUUUUACUGUUUUACAAUGGCUUGUAGUCCAUUUGCACCAGAAAUUUUAAUCAUUUGGCAGGUCAAUGUCAAGAAGCAUAAACUUCAAAGGGCAUAAGCUAAGUUUAGCAGGAGUCAAUAAACCCUAUGUUCAUUGACAAUUCAGUUACUUUGCACCCUGAUGAAAUUAAUGAUUUUUCAACUCUUUGUUCAAUUGAACAUAAGAUAUUUUAGGUAAAGAGAAGAAUGUAUAUCAAUCAUAUAUCCCCCAAAAAAAGUCCACACAAGCAUUUAUCUCCACGACAUUGAAGCUUAAAUGCUCAAACAACUCUAAACAAUGAUGAUAAUUUAAUGGUAAUUCAAAUAUGAAUGCACACACCAUAUACAGAGCAUUGUUUGUGUGAAGAAAGGCAAUUGCAGGUCAUUUCACUGAUCAUACAUGAUAACCACAAAAAGCAAGCUCUGCGCAAUCAUAUUUUAACAAAAGAUCAUAUUUUAACAAAAGAAAGAUCAGUAAAUCAUCUUCCACAAGGAAUAUUUAAGUAACCUAACAAUCUGUGCACUUCUUUAUGCCAAAUAAGACAUAAUAAUCAAAGAAGCAUAUGGGUGCCCCUGAAUGAAACACGAAUAAAGACAGAAAAGAAACCUUCCAUGAUCCUUCUACUAAUUUAUUACACUUACCGAAGAUCCCCCAGCAACCUGAUUCAGGUAUCUAUUCAUUCCACCAAAUAAAGAAAACCAAUCAUAUUGGCGCCAACCAAGAACCAACAAACACUAAUCAAAGUUCAAAACAAUCUCUAUCUAUCCAUCGAGGGAAGUAACAGAAGAUCUAAACUUUGGCAUCAAAUCUAUCAAAUCCAAUGCCUAUUACAACAAGGAAAAAAGGGGCAUCAUAGACUCUUCGUGCGCGGAUUCCAAAAUCGCGGACCCGACUACAAUUUCCAAUUCUGUCGUUUCCAUCACCUGAAGAGGAUCCGACGAACACCCGAAUCAGAGCAGUAGGGUUUAAGAAGCCGGACCGAAGGAGACGACGAUGUACGCAGAAGAAAUCUUAUGAGUCCCGCUCGGAUGGACCUUUUCGUGGAAUCGGACCGUUUCCGCACCAAAUUAUUAUGCAAAAAAUCCAAGUUACCAGCAUAAUUUUACCCAAAACAUACCCAACAGUAUAUUGAAUAUGUUGUGGGCCCAAAUCGACCUUGCGGUGGAUACGGUGGUCAGCGGUACGGUUGCCC